GUAGGGUGCGAGCGUUAAUCGGAAUUACUGGGCGUAAAGCGUGCGCAGGCGGCUUUGCAAGACAGAUGUGAAAUCCCCGGGCUCAACCAGGGAACUGCAUUUGUGACUGCAAGGCUAGAGUACGGCGGAGGGGGAUGGAAUUCCGCGUGUAGCAGUGAAAUGCGUAGAUAUGCGGAGGAACACCGAUGGCGAAGGCAAUCCCCUGGGCCUGUACUGACGCUCAUGCACGAAAGCGUGGGGAGCAAACAGGAUUAGAUACCCUGGUAGUCCACGCCCUAAACGAUGUCAACUGGUUGUUGGACGGCUUGCUGUUCAGUAACGAAGCUAACGCGUGAAGUUGACCCGCCUGGGAGUACGGCCGCAAGGUUG
rnacentral:rRNA from 1 species